CAACUUAAGAGUUUGAUCCUGGCUCAGAACGAACGCUGGCGGCAGGCCUAACACAUGCAAGUCGAACGAUCCGUGGUCUUCGGACCACAAUGGAUAGUGGCGCACGGGUGAGUAACGCGUGGGAAUAUGCCCUGGAGUACGGAAUAACUAGUGGAAACGCUAGCUAAUACCGUAUACGCCCCAAGGGGGAAAGAUUUAUCGCUCCAGGAUUAGCCCGCGUCUGAUUAGCUUGUUGGUAAGGUAACGGCUUACCAAGGCUUCGAUCAGUAGCUGGUCUGAGAGGAUGAUCAGCCACACUGGGACUGAGACACGGCCCAGACUCCUACGGGAGGCAGCAGUGGGGAAUAUUGGACAAUGGGGGAAACCCUGAUCCAGCCAUGCCGCGUGUGUGAAGAAGGCCUUAGGGUUGUAAAGCACUUUCAGCAGGGAAGAUGAUGACGGUACCUGCAGAAGAAGCCCCGGCUAACUCCGUGCCAGCAGCCGCGGUAAUACGGAGGGGGCU
rnacentral:rRNA from 1 species